GGGGCUGUAGCUCAGUUGGCUAGAGCACCUGCUUUGCAAGCAGGGGGUCGUGGGUUCGAUUCCCACCAGCUCCA
rnacentral:tRNA from 2 species